rnacentral:lncRNA from 1 species
CCGGAGAGAGCGGUCCAAGUUGGGCUCCAUCUCUGCCCUGGCUAGCUGCUCCGCAGAACCCUGCCUGCCCGGAAAGCGCGGAGAAAAUUCAGCCGAACCCACUCUCGCCCUUUCCCUACCCCCAACGCCUGGAGAGGUCGGGUAAGAGAAAAAGGUUGGGAAGGAUGAGCCCCUGGCCUGAGGGGGGGGGGUCCUGCUGCCCCACGUCCGAGGACCUCACGCGCACCCAGGACUUCUAUCCCUAGGCCUGGUUCCCGCGCCCAUGCUCCGGGCGACGUGCCCACCCUGGGCGAGCAGCCCGAGGCUGGAUCUCAGGGACGUCAGCUCCCUAGCAGAGGCCCAGGCGUGGAGACUUCAUUCACAGGUGUUUCCCCACCCCAGCAGACGGCGAUGACCCCCAAGCCAGCCGGACCCCCGGACGGGGGCUGGGGCUGGGUGGUGGCGGCCGCAGCAUUCGCCGUGAACGGGCUCUCCUACGGGCUCUUACGCUCCCUGGGCCUUGCCCUCCCCGACCUCGCGGAGCACUUUGAACGAAGCGCCCAGGACACUGCGUGGGUCAGCGCCCUGGCCUUGGCCGUGCAGCAGGCAGCCAGCUUCCUAAGGGAUAAGACAGGAGACUUCAGUGCCUCUUUCCUGGUGUGCAGUUCUUUCAUCCUCUCUGGCAGCUUCAUCUACAUGGGGCUGCCCAGAGCCCUCCCCUCCUGCCGCCCAGCCUCACCUCCCGCUACCCCUCCGCCUGAGAGAGGGGAACUGCUCCCAGUCCCACAAGUCUCCCUGCUCUCCACGGGGGGCAGCAGCUCCAUCCGGGAUACCACUUGUUGAUCAUUUUCUUGGUUGACUCCCUUAAUAAAGAAUUUUUAUCUUA